rnacentral:tRNA from 1 species
GGGGAUGUAGCUCAGUGGUAGAGUGCUUUCUUAAAAUGCAUGAGGCCCUAGGUUCAAUCCCUGGUACCA